AUACAAAGUUUCCAAAGGAGAUUUGGAGCCUAAAGGAGCAGAGGCAGCUCCUCACCAUGACUGUCAAGGAAAGGAGACGCUGGGUGGUACUUAGAAGAGGGAGCUGAGAGUACUCAAAGCAGAUGUAUUUGUCAGCAUAGGUAAAGUUAUGCCACAGUAACAAACAUCUCAUGGACCCCAGGAGUGUGCAGACAAAGUUGAAUUUCUUGCUCAUGCAAAUAGGAUGUUCUGGGACCUCUUCAGAGCAACUUUCCUCCAAGGGGAGACUCAGCAAUCAGAGGUAAAGGCCAGGCCUAGAAAUGGCACCAUCUGAACACUGUUAGUGUGUCUGGUGUUGAAGGUUAAACACUUGCCAAAUGAUAACCCAUAGCAAUCCUGCCCCCAAGGAGUCAUGCAGUCCACCUAACUUUGAGCCCAUCCUGGAGGAUUGUCCUUGCACUUAUUGGGAGGGAGAGAGGACUGGGCCUUGUUGAAGAGCAGGCGUGCUGAUCACAGCGGGAAAUACAGAGGCUCCAGACCACCACGCAGAGCCCAUAAACUGUGAGCCGAUGAUAUCAACCGGAGAGUUUGUGGAGAUGUGGCCACUCAAGAGGCUGACCAGGACCCAGAACUUCUAGGGGCUCUGGUUUGCUAUGCCAAGGAUCGCACCCCAUUAUUGGUAAGAGACCGUCCCACACAAUCCCACUCUGCCCAGGAAGACCUGGCCUGGGCUCAGCUUUGGAGGCAGGAAUGGAGGCAUUUCUUGCAGAAAUUGAGGCUCAUCAGCAUUUGAGAGGAAAAGACAUGCUAAUUUUACACAGAAAAUAUUCUGGCCCUUCCAUUUCAAUUGCAUCUGUUCAAUAAAAUUCAGACAAGAACUGGUUCAUGGACAUUUGGUUCAACUUCAAAGAAUUCCCGUAGGUGAGAAAUGGGAUGCUUGAAGAAGGUCCUGUUGCCAAGAGGCAGUUACUCAUUGCAAGAGAGAUUUGGGAGAACACUGGCUUCUCACAACCCCAUCUCCAAGUUCCCAGAGAUGAAGCAAGGAGGGGGUUUUCUCCUGAGCACAGCCUCUGCUCCAAACCGAGAUGUCCCACGACCAAGGAAACCAUCGGGGGGCAACAAAUUUGGAUCCAAAGCCACGUUACUCUGGAGCCCCUACUUCCCAGGCAGAGCUGCCCUGUGUGAGGGGUCCUAGCGUAGCUGUGGGUGAAGAUGGGUACCGUCCCCGGGGAAGCACGGUGGCUCCAUUACAGAUUCCAAAGGGAAUGACAGCCAAGGCCUUACAGGGUCCUAGACUCGAGAUCAACGGGCCCCUUGAUGCUCACUGGCUGAGGCUCCUGGGGCAGCAGUCUUGAGAGUUUUAAUGGCAAUAUUUGUUCUCAAUUAAACUUUGCCGAGUGAAUGAACCAAGCACUUUUGGAACUGAGGGUUUCAUUGGUGCAAAUUUAUACCAGGCAUCCCUUGAAGCCCUUUGACAGAUUCUGUAGCUCAUACCUCAGUCUUACAGGGAAGAGAGGUUCAUUCCUGUAUCCACUCAUUCAAAACAUUUUCUGAGCCCCUGGGCUCUAAUUCCAGAUGGAAGGAGAACAUUCCACGCUUUGCCCCUUGGGCACCUGCCUGGUCUGCCAGGGUCGCAGCUGAGCUCCCUCCCAGGGUGAGGACAGGUGUUGGCUUUGCCCACUGUGCGCCUCGCCGCCACGUCUGCCUCCCCCUCCCCCUGCCCCGAUCCUCUCCAGACGCCCCUCUGCCUCUAACCACAACUCAAGACGCUCCACGUAGGCUCCCCCAGCCCGUGCUUCCCAUUGGGUGUUGCUCAAAUCCAUUCCCUUCUUCCACCUCUUCUCCUUCAAUGUAACCCCCCCCAGUGACCUCGCUUACAUGCCACUGAACCCCUCAAAUAUCACUGGUACCGACCCCCCCCCCACCAUCCAGAACUCCAAGCUCCACUGAGUUCCAGCUGAAGAGCUGACUCCUCGUGCUAAUGGCCAGAGUACAUUAUCUUUUCCCCAGAUCCCCAAACAUCUGGUUCCUCCUGAAUUCCUACUCUGAUUGAGAUGCCACCACUGCCCAAACACCUGCUCUCGGCAGUUCACUACUAGCUUCUCUACGCACAUGCCCCACCCCACCCACCUCUAGUGCAUUUGUCUCUGGAUCCUCUGGAUCCAUCAACAUCUCUCCAUCCUCUCCAUCCUGCUGCCUGUAAGUCUGAGUCAGAGACGCCGGCCAGUUCUUCCAGGUCUCCCAGCUGUGGGCUUCUCUCUGCAUGUCAUGUUCUGCCAUCUUUAGUGGUCCCCCAGGGUUAGCGGUGUCCAGACCUUCCCAGUAGGUCUUUGACACCCCCCACUCAUCCCUGACCUUCCGGACUCCCUCCCCAACCCCCCUGAGGUCCUUCCUGGUCCUCCCUCACCACAGGCUCUGUACGGAGCAGCCACGAGCUUCUCUCCCCUGCCAGCCCUGGGCCCCCAUCCGUCAUCGUCCUGUCUGACUCCAAUUUCAAGAUCCAGGUCAGAUGCCCUUUUCUGGCGAUGACAGUCAGAAUGUCCCAGACAGGGGCGGCCAACACCCCUGAUGCUUCUCAGAAUAACCGGAAGUUCCUCUAACAUGCCUGUGCCAUGCCAUCAAUCAUCCUUUUCUACCACCAGCUGCCCCCACUGCCCCCGGGGUGUCUUCCUUUUGAGGGCCCUGUGCCUGGUGCCCAGCUUACUCGAGAGUGGAUGAAGCACCUGGUGUCCAGCACCUCUGCAGGGACACUUUCUAUUCCAUGCACAAACUUUCCACGUGCUGUGCUCGUCUGCCAUUUACAGGCCCCUCCUCUUUCUAAGCGAAAUGCGUUAUUCGAGGCAGUGUUGAUGCUCUCAUACCCAGGAGUCCCACUGCAAUCACAGAGCCCUGGAACCAGAAGACAUGCACAUGUGGUUCCCAUCAUGGCUCGGCCUCUCCCUGGGAGUGCGACCUUGACCUGGUUUCUUAACCACCAGGGACCCCAGAUUCUCCUCUGGCGUGAGGUCUUGGCAGCAGGUCUGGGGCACGGGUCCAAAGUGGUGCCCACAGACGGUAGAGGUAACUUCUGCUGUUGCUGGGACCGGCAUCCUUAUUAGGUUUGUUUGGUCGAGAGACAUCAGGUGGCACCCGUUAGGUGCGGGGGGGCUGUGUCACAUGCAGGGACGGAAGGGGAGCAGAUGUAGCCCCGCUCUGGAGGAUCCACUGCGGUGCGUGUUCUAACCACAUGGAUCGUCCAAUCUGACUUCUCUAGAGGCCGAGUCUGUGAGCCAGAAUCUGCUUUCUGAACCCCCAAGUGGGGCUCCUACACUUGUUCUCUUAAUUGGGGGGCAAGGUUCUCCUGCAGCUUCACAGCCACAGGCAAUGGAGGACAUUGAACCAGACAACACCAUUUGCAACUUGCCCCAGGAGUCCCUCCCUCUCUGGGCACGGCCGCCUGGGCAGCUCAGAACCUUAUCUGCCUUGCCCUGCAUCUUCCAGGGUAGGUCAGGGACCCACGGUGACUGUCACCCUCUCUCCCCAGCCCCCAGGGUUCCUGGGACUUUCCCUUCUGGGCACUGCAGGAGUGGGAGGAGAAAUAUUUUCCUUACAAAGUUGAGUUUUUAAAUUGUGCUACUUGGCAGCAUCACAUUCUCAAGCUGUUCUGUGUUUUCUUGGCUGCGUUUCUGACGUGUAAAUUAAAUUAUUGCUUCUGCCCCAGAUAAUUGUGUGUGCGUGGUUCACAAAGCGAGUGCUGUGUGAACGUUAGUUCUACACAAGAAUUUAAAACAUCUUACGCAUUUUUCUCCUUCAUUAUUGGAAUGAUAAUUUUUCCCAAAGUAAGCUGCCUCAUUUACUAUAGCAGUUCCGCUCCCCUGAGCAAUUAGAUGUGCAUUGUUUUUGUACCCUAGAAUGGAACCUCCAGGGCAGUUUGUCACUUGGCCCAGUGGCUGUGUGGGUGGGUUUGGGGAGAGGCUAAGUGUGAAAAGGGUCCCUCAUGCUCUCUGUGAUGAGAGGGUUCAAGAGCCCUCUCUGGUGUGGAACGGGAGGACUGCGGUGUCAUCAGGCUGCUGUUGGGCCCUCAGCAACCUUGGCAAAAGCAGAGUGUCUCCGUAAGUAAGCAAGUCAGGUCUUCUGCUUUGCCAGGUAGAUUUAACAUUUGAAAAAUAAAAAUGAAAAUCUUUCAAAACAAAAUUCCAGGAACUAGAGGCUGAAACACAGGGUUCGACUUAGAGUGAGUGGUGUCUGAACGCGCUGCUUCACGUAGUCGAGGGACUGAACUGAGUGAUUCCCGAUUUCUUCACUGACUGCUGGUGCGAGAUUCCUGAGCAAGUUAAGCUAGUUCCUCGCCUGUCUUCUCUCUCAGGUCUUGGAUCACCCUGAACAGAAACAGAAACUCAGGACUCUGUCCAGGGUCCUGCCUGCCUUUCACUCUCCGCCACUGGCUUCCAUGCAGCCUGCUGGGCAGUGAGGUUGCACACCAGGCUUCCGGCUCUUUUCCUGGCAACACUGCAGGGGUGGCACAAUCUCACCCAAUAUUUGGGGUUCCAAGCCUACUUUUUUCUCAUGCACUCACAGAAGUGUAUUUCUUUCUGUUCAAAUGUAUUCAACAUCACUACUUUUGAAUAAGUGGUAUUCCGUAGAAAACAAGGGGAAGGAUGUGCCAGACAGACGUCUAGUUUCCUCAUGGGCUGUCUAUUUCCAAAUAAUCCUUCUGAAAAAAAUAAUCCAUCCCUUCCUGGAGCAUAGAGGACUUUUUGAGACCACAUUCUAUAAAACCACAUACGAGACGGCAAAGCUGAGCUGUCGGCCGAGUGAGCAUGUGUGGCUCUGGGACACAGGUGGGGUGGGGGCCUCCUUGUGUACAGGCCCCCUCCCCCUGCUCUGUUUACCUGCCUGCCACCCUCCCUGCUCACGGCCGGCCGUAUAGACUCACCCUCGUCAUGUUCAGGCCCUGACACCCCAUCACAUUUUCAAAGCAACAUAAAGGAUGACUACUGACUUUGUAUGAUGGCAUUGUACUCAUGCCCUUUGCUGAGCUUAUUUAUUAUAAAUAAAUGUAUAAAAUGGCUGGCAAGGAGUUCCUGCUGUGGCACAGUGUGUUAAGAAUCCAACUGUGGCAGCUCAGGGUUAGAUCCCCCACCGGGUGCAGUAGGUUAAAGGAUCUGGCGUUGCUGCAGUUGCACAGUGGGUUGCAGCUGCAGCUCGGAUUCCAUCCCUGGCUGCAGAACUUCCACAUGCCAAGGGUAUGGCCAUUAAAAAAAAAAAA
rnacentral:lncRNA from 1 species